GAUGAAGAACGCAGCGAAAUGCGAUAAGUAAUGUGAAUUGCAGAAUUCAGUGAAUCAUCGAAUCUUUGAACGCACAUUGCGCCCCUUGGUAUUCCGAGGGGCAUGCCUGUUCGAGCGUCAUAUUAACCACUCCCGCUUGCGGGGUCUUGGGCUUCGCCUCCGGGCGGGCCUUAAAAUCAGUGGCGGUGCCGUCGGGCUCUACGCGUAGUAAAUUUUCUCGCGAUAGGGUCCCGGUGGAUGCUUGCCAACAACCCCCAACUUCUUAAGGUUGACCUCGGAUCAGGUAGGGAUACCCGCUGAACUUAAGCAUAUCAAUAAGCGGAGGGA
rnacentral:misc_RNA from 1 species